AUUGAACGCUGGCGGCAGGCCUAACACAUGCAAGUCGCACGAGUGGCGGACGGGUGAGUAAUGUCUGGGACACUGUCUGAUGGAGGGGGAUAACUACUGGAACCGGUAGUUAAUACCGCAUACCAUCAGAUGUGGCCAGAUGGGAUUAGCUAGUUGGUGGGGUAAUGGCUCACCAAGGCGACGAUCCCUAGCUGUGCUGAGAGGAUGACCAGCCACACUGGAACGGUGACACGGUCCAGACUCCUACGGGCAGCAGCAGUGGGGAAUAUGGCACAAUGGGAUCAAGCCUGAUGCAGCCAUGCCGCGUGGAUGAAGAAGGCCUUCGGGUUGUAAAGUACUUUCAGCGUGAAGGCGUUACCCGCAGGAGAAGCACCGGCUAACUCCGUGCCAGCCGCCGCGGUAAUUC
rnacentral:rRNA from 1 species